rnacentral:ncRNA from 2 species
UGUCCGGGUCGCGACUGGCGAACAGGUGGGUCACCACCAGGGAGCGGCAGCACAGCAGACUUCGGGUCGUACGCCUGGGCCGCGGGU